rnacentral:rRNA from 1 species
CCUACGGGUGGCAGCAGUGGGGAAUAUUGCACAAUGGGGGAAACCCUGAUGCAGCAACGCCGCGUGAGUGAAGAAGUAUUUCGGUAUGUAAACCUCUAUCAGCAGGGAAGAAGAAAAACGGUACCUGACUAAGAAGCCCCGGCUAACGACGUGCAAGCAGCCGCGGUAAUACGGAGGGGGCAAGCGUUAUCCGGAUUUACUGGGUGUAAAGGGAGCGUAGACGGCUGUGCAAGUCUGAAGUGAAAGCCCAUGGCUAAACCGCGGAACUGCUUUGGAAACUGUAUAGCUUGAGUACUGGAGAGGUAGGCGGAAUUCUUAGUGUAGCGGUGAAAUGCGUAGAUAUUAGGAGGAACACUAGUGGCGAAGGCGACCUGCUGGA